GCUAGUAAUGGCAGGUCAGCAUACUGCCGUGAAUACGUUCCCGGGCCUUGUACACACCGCCCGUCACACCAUGAGAGUCGGGAACACCCGAAGUCCGUAGUCUAACCGCAAGGAGGGCGCGGCCGAAGGUGGGCUUGAUAAUUGGGGUGAAGUCGUAACAAGGUACC
rnacentral:rRNA from 1 species